GGCCGACUGGCGAAAUGGCAUCGCGUCUGACUACGACGCCGUGCAUUCCACUGCAUUGUAAUCAGGAGAUUGCAGGUUCGACCCCUGCGUCGGUCA